UACGUAGGGAGCAAGCGUUAUCCGGAUUUGUUGGGUGUAAAGGGUGCGUAGACGGGAAUAUAAGUUAGUUGUGAAAUUCCUCGGCUUAACUGAGGAACUGCAACUAAAACUGUGUUUCUUGAGUGCAGGAGAGGAAAGUGGAAUUCCUAGUGUAGCGGUGAAAUGCGUAGAUAUUAGGAGGAACACCAGUGGCGAAGGCGGCUUUCUGGACUGUAACUGACGUUGAGGCACGAAAGUGUGGGGAGCAAAC
rnacentral:rRNA from 1 species